CAAUUGACCCCUUAAGCUGGGUCUGACUUCAAAGUGGGCCCUGCUCUGCACACAACAUCAGGCAGUGGCCUCCAGAGCUGCUUCUAAACCAAAGGGUUCCUUGAUUGAAAUGCUAUGUAAAAGAUUGCCAUUGUUUUGCACUGCAGCCACUCACUGAUGUGGAUCAACUGUGCCAGUCACUCCACCACUGUAAAUACGGAACUGCUUUAUUCAGCUCCCUGAAGCUUAAUCAGCCUGCUUUUAAAACAGCUUGUGAGCCCCUUUGGUCUGAAGCUUCCUCCUACCAGGUUGCUUCAUUUCUCUGCGUCAGAGCACGUGCAUGUGGAAAUGGAGAUCAAAGAGCAUUGUUAAUUGACAGAAGAGGUGUUACAGAGAUUGUCAGUUACCUUUUGCUGCUGAUACCCAUCACCUCUAAUAGAAAUCUUGGGAUUUAAAAAAAAAAAAAAGGCUUUCAUGCCAUACAUCUUCUGUCAAACCUGAGGACACCAAUGGACACAGAACUUACUCUUCUUUAACUGCAGACUUGUAUUCCAUAAAAUAUGAAAAGACAUCUGAAAAAGUCACCAGAUCUAACUGGGUGGAGACCGGAUGUCAGGAGAAAAC
ensembl:lncRNA